rnacentral:rRNA from 1 species
AGCGAACGCUGGCGGCAGGCUUAACACAUGCAAGUCGAGCGGGCAUCCUUGUGGUGUCCGCGGCAGACGGGUGAGUAACGCGUGGGAACGUGCCCUUCGGUUCGGAAUAACUCAGGGAAACUUGAGCUAAUACCGGAUACGUGCGAGAGCAGAAAGGUUUAUCUGCCGAAGGAUCGGCCCGCGUCUGAUUAGCUAGUUGGUGAGGUUAUGGCUCACCAAGGCGACGAUCAGUAGCUGGUCAGAGAGGAUGAUCAGCCACACUGGGACUGAGACACGGCCCAGACUCCUACGGGAGGCAGCAGUGGGGAAUAUUGGACAAUGGGGGCAACCCUGAUCCAGCCAUGCCGCGUGAGUGAUGACGGCCUUAGGGUUGUAAAGCUCUUUUCUCCGGGACGAUAAUGACGGUACCGGAGGAAUAAGCCCCGGCUAACUUCGUG